rnacentral:ncRNA from 1 species
AGACAGGCAAUGAAGAAGAAGAGUACUUUCGAGCAGCACUUCAGAGAGCUGAUGGCAGGUGAGAAUCAGCGUGCACGAAAAAGGAAUGGGCUUCUGAGCUACCGAUCUGAAAUUAGGAUAGUAGGAUCUGGCGGAGCGUCUUACCGAUACAAAAGACAUCUUAUUGGAAUGUGUCAUUUUUCCUGUAAGUGUUAAGUGCGUUUACUCAUGUAGACGAAUAAAGGUGGCAACACGGGUUUCCCGUCCUUAUU